rnacentral:rRNA from 1 species
CCUACGGGGCGCAGCAGGUGCGAAAACUCCACAAUGCACGAAAGUGUGAUGGGGCUAUCCCGAGUGCUGUCCGCUGAGGACAGCUUUUCCAUGCUGUAAGAAGGCGUGGGAAUAAGGAGAGGGCAAGCCUGGUGUCAGCCGCCGCGGUAA